GUGGGGAAUUUUGGACAAUGGGGGCAACCCUGAUCCAGCCAUCCCGCGUGUGCGAUGAAGGCCUUCGGGUUGUAAAGCACUUUUGGCAGGAAAGAAAUCGCACGGGAUAAUACCUCGUGUGGAUGACGGUACCUGCAGAAUAAGCACCGGCUAACUACGUGCCAGCAGCCGCGGUAAUACGUAGGGUGCAAGCGUUAAUCGGAAUUACUGGGCGUAAAGCGUGCGCAGGCGGUUCGGAAAGAAAGAUGUGAAAUCCCAGGGCUUAACCGUGGAACUGCAUUUGUAACUACCGUGCUAGAGUGUGUCAGAGGGGGGUGGAAUUCCGCGUGUAGCAGUGAAAUGCGUAGAUAUGCGGAGGAACACCGAUGGCGAAGGCAGCCCCCUGGGAUAACACUGACGCUCAUGCACGAAAGCGUGGGGAGCAAACAGGAUUAGAAACCCCAGUAGUCC
rnacentral:rRNA from 1 species